AUCGAGAGAAAUUUAGGGUUAUUGUGAGAAACUUUUGGUAAUGAGAUAUUUUGUAUCCAUAUGUAAAAGACCAUUAAGCCCCCUAUUUGGAAAUUAGUAAAAUAGAAUUGAAGGAUAAAAUGGGAAAAACAAAGUACUUCAUAAAUGAACAGUAAAUGGUGGAUUCACACUUUUAAGAGAGUACGGAUUAUUGCAUUUCACAGCCAACCAUGCCAUUCGGUAGUCCUUCAAUGGCACUAAUCACGUCCACAUCAUUGACCUCAACAUCAUGCAGGGCCUCCAAUGACCAGGAAUGUUCCACAUCCUCGCCUGAAAUUGCGUAAAAUCGAGUUCAUUCAAAUCAUCGGCCUUCGACCCUCCAUGAAGCUAAACAAGCCAGCAGUUACAAAAAGAUCAUUUAGGUAAUAGCUAAUAAUGCUCCAAAUCGAAAAGCCACAAGUCAAAUAAUUGGGUAUAGCUUUGGACACAACAUAUUGUUCACACUUUAAAUCUUUUUUGUAACGAACCGAGCCAUUUACCCAAGCCGUUAUAUCAUACGUAUUAACCAUUUUAGAAGUGCAUUUGGCCCUCUUACCCCUUACGACUUUCUGCUGCAUUCUCCAAGAUUUGAACCCAAUACAUUUCCCUUAAGAAUGAAUUAAAUUGAAUCAUGGUACCAAUUGGACAAGUGCUUCGAAGAACAUUGGUGCAGCGAUGAAAGUUGACAAACACUAAAUUUCAUAGGAGAAAUGCAAUUGGAAAACUGGAGUUCACAAUGAUGAAACGGUCAUAAAAAAUUUCAUCAUGAUAAUCUCUAUGAUAUUGGCAAUGUUUGAUGAAUUUGUGCAACUGAAAUUUUUUGAUGUAGCAGGGCGUGAUUUGCUUCAACAAUUCUUAUGCUCAAAAAAUUUAAACUUAUCAAGGGUAUCCUCCAAACUAUGAUGCAACAAGUAUAAAAUUUGUUAGUAUUAAACUAAAA
rnacentral:lncRNA from 1 species